UACGGAGGGAGCUAGCGUUGUUCGGAAAUACUGGGCGUAAAGCGCACGUAGGCGGCGCAGCAAGUCAGGGGUGAAAUCCCGGGGCUCAACCCCGGAACUGCCUCUGAAACUGCAGUGCUAGAAUCUUGGAGAGGCGAGUGGAAUUCCGAGUGUAGAGGUGAAAUGCGUAGAUAUCGGGAGGAACACCAGUGGCGAAGGCGACUACCUGGCCUGUUCUUGACGCUGAGGCGCGAAAGCUAGGGGAGCAAACGGG
rnacentral:rRNA from 1 species